GCUGGAGCACCACAUGGCUUCCCUUCCCUGCCAGACUGCACCCUCCCAGAGCUAAAAUAUAACAACUUCAACAAGACAUGGAUCUCAAUAGAUGGGCACCACUCCUACAGAUCAGAGUAACCUUGUUACACGUUACACUGUGAGGCACACACAUGCUGAUGGCUGUUAGUUCUGCCUAGUGUUUGGAGCAAGUCACACGUUCAGGCUAGCAAGGGCCUGGAGGAUUGAAAGAUGGCACCGGCUGCGGUUCAGAGGUUAAGAACACAAUCUGGCACAGUGCUAAAGGCCCUCAACUCCCACCGACUUCAGUGGAAAUGGAAUAGGCUUGGCAGUUUCUGGAGCUGAACUCUGAAGACCAGCAUUUCAGAAAAGCUCAGGGUCAGAGCUCC